rnacentral:lncRNA from 1 species
AAUAAUGUAAAGUUGAUUUUGUUCAAUUCUGAUUUUCAUUUGAUUGUUAAUGAAAUUAUCUUUACAAGAUUAUAGUUAUAUAUAUAUAUAUAUAUAUAUUAAAUCAGAAAAUGCUGUAAAGCCCCAAGACCAUCAGGCAGCAAGGGAAGGUAUCCACAAAUCAAUAAUGUGCUCACAGUUGCAGAUAAGAAGAAAAUGGCAUUGAUGCCAACGGAGAGCAAUGCUGCUGCUGUUAAUGGCUUGAAGCCGAAGGUUGAAGAAGAUAACAAAAACAUUGAUGCUGAUGAUCAUAAUUCCACAGCACAGACGACUCAAACUAAUGAUUAAUUAUAUUUGCUUGUUUAAGAAUGGUGUCUGCGACCGUCCAAAAUCUCGGAUCGAUUUGUUGUUGUAGUCCGUGAGAUAUGUUUAUUUGUCUAUUGUCUAUACAUACAUAUACAUAUGUAUAGCACUAAGUGAUAUGAUGUUCAUUUUAUU